GCUGGGCAUGGUGGCGUACACCUGUAGUCCCAGCUACUCAGGAGGCUGAGGUGGGAGGAUUGCUUGAGCCCAGGGAGGUCAAGGCUGCAGUGAGUCGUGAUCAUGCCACUGCACUCUGGCCUGGGUGACAAAGUGAGACCCUGUCUCAA
rnacentral:SRP_RNA from 2 species